GUGGGACACAGUUUUUUGGUGAUUCAUAAUAACUUUUCGAAUCGUAUGACUUUACGUCGACGAUGGUUCAUUCAAAUUUCUGCCCUAUCAACUUUCGAUGGGGUUUGUAUUUAUUAGAUAACGAACCAAUGAGCUUGGUGAUUCAUAAUAACUUUACGGAUCGCAUCUUUGAUGCGACAUAUCAUUCAAGUUUCUGACCUAUCAGCUUUAGACGGUAGGGUAUUGGCCUACCGUGGCUAUGACGGGUAACGGGGAAUUAGGGUUCGAUUCCGGAGAGGGAGCCUGAGAAACGGCUACCACAUCUAAGGAAGGCAGCAGGCGCGCAAAUUACCCCAUCCUGACACAGGGAGGUAGUGACAAGAAAUAACAAUACAGGGCCUAACGGUCUUGUAAUUGGAAUGAGUGAAGUAUAAACCCCUUUACGAGUAUCAAUUGGAGGGCAAGUCUGGUGCCAGCAGCCGCGGUAAUUCCAGCUCCAAUAGCGUAUAUUAAAGUUGUUGCAGUUAAAAAGCUCGUAGUUGGAUUUCUGUUGUAUAAUCUAUACUAUUACCAAGGUAUAUAUUAUAUUAUCAACAUCCUUCCUAUUAUAUUUCUAUUAAAUAUAUGGGAAAUUUUACUUUGAGAAAAUUAGAGUGCUUAAAGCAGGCAAACUGCCUUGAAUACUCCAGCAUGGAAUAAUAAGUAAGGACUUUUGUCUUUCUUAUUGGUUCUAGGACAAAAGUAAUGGUUAAUAGGGACAGUUGGGGGCAUUCGUAUUUAACAGCCAGAGGUGAAAUUCUUAGAUUUGUUAAAGACGAACUCACCAUUAUGAGGA
rnacentral:rRNA from 1 species